CAGCCGCCGCGGUAAUACAGAGGGUGCGAGCGUUAAUCGGAUUUACUGGGCGUAAAGCGUGCGUAGGCGGCUUCUUAAGUCGGAUGUGAAAUCCCUGAGCUUAACUUAGGAAUUGCAUUCGAUACUGGGAAGCUAGAGUAUGGGAGAGGAUGGGAGAAUUCCAGGUGUAGCGGUGAAAUGCGUAGAGAUCUGGAGGAAUACCGAUGGCGAAGGCAGCCAUCUGGCCUAAUACUGACGCUGAGGUACGAAAGCAUGGGGAGCAAACAGGAUUAGAUACCCCUGUAGUCCCUGUCUCUUAUAC
rnacentral:rRNA from 1 species